rnacentral:rRNA from 1 species
CGAUUGUAGUCAUAUGCUUGUCUCAAAGAUUAAGCCAUGCAUGUCUAAGUAUAAGCAAUUAUACGGCGAAACUGCGAAUGGCUCAUUAAAUCAGUUAUCGUUUAUUUGAUAGUACCUUGCUACAUGGAUAACCGUGGUAAUUCUAGAGCUAAUACAUGCUAAAAAUCCCGACUUCGGAAGGGAUGUAUUUAUUAGAUUAAAAACCAAUGCCCUUCGGGGCUCUCUGGUGAUUCAUAAUAACUUCUCGAAUCGCACGGCCUUGCGCCGGCGAUGGUUCAUUCAAAUUUCUGCCCUAUCAACUUUCGACGGCUGGGUCUUGGCCAGCCAUGGUGACAACGGGUAACGGAGGGUUAGGGCUCGACCCCGGAGAAGGAGCCUGAGAAACGGCUACUACAUCCAAGGAAGGCAGCAGGCGCGCAAAUUACCCAAUCCCGACUCGGGGAGGUAGUGACAAUAAAUACUGAUACAGGGCUCUUUUGGGUCUUGUAAUUGGAAUGAGUACAAUUUAAAUCCCUUAACGAGGAACAAUUGGAGGGCAAGUCUGGA